UACAGAGGGUGCGAGCGUUAAUCGGAAUUACUGGGCGUAAAGCGCGCGUAGGUGGUUUGUUAAGUUGGAUGUGAAAUCCCCGGGCUCAACCUGGGAACUGCAUUCAAAACUGACAAGCUAGAGUAUGGUAGAGGGUGGUGGAAUUUCCUGUGUAGCGGUGAAAUGCGUAGAUAUAGGAAGGAACACCAGUGGCGAAGGCGACCACCUGGACUGAUACUGACACUGAGGUGCGAAAGCGUGGGGAGCAAACAGG
rnacentral:rRNA from 1 species